AUAGCGUAUAUUAAAGUUGUUGCAGUUAAAAAGCUCGUAGUUGAACUUCAGACCUGGCCGGGCGGUCUGCCUAACGGUAUGUACUGUCUGGCUGGGCCUUACCUCUUGGUGAGCCGGCAUGCCCUUUACUGGGUGUGUCGGGGAACCAGGACUUUUACCUUGAGAAAAUUAGAGUGUUCAAAGCAGGCCUACGCCCGAAUACAUUAGCAUGGAAUAAUAAAAUAGGACGUGCGGUUCUAUUUUGUUGGUUUCUAGAGUCGCCGUAAUGAUUAAUAGGGAUAGUUGGGGGCAUUAGUAUUCAGUUGCUAGAGGUGAAAUUCUUGGAUUUACUGAAGACUAACUACUG
rnacentral:rRNA from 1 species